GCACGCCUGAGUUAAACAACACCACUUUUAAUGUAGGAGCAUGGCGCAGUGAAGCGUAUUGGUAUUAUU
rnacentral:tRNA from 1 species